rnacentral:rRNA from 1 species
GACGAACGCUGGCGGCGUGCUUAACACAUGCAAGUCGAACGGAAAGGCCCUGCUUGCCGGGUACUCGAGUGGCGAACGGGUGAGUAACACGUGGGUGAUCUGCCCUGCACUUCGGGAUAAGCCUGGGAAACUGGGUCUAAUACCGGAUAGGAGCCAUUUUUAGUGUGAUGGUUGGAAAGUUUUUUCGGUGUAGGAUGAGCUCGCGGCCUAUCAGCUUGUUGGUGGGGUAAUGGCCUACCAAGGCGGCGACGGGUAGCCGGCCUGAGAGGGUGGACGGCCACAUUGGGACUGAGAUACGGCCCAGACUCCUACGAGAGGCAGCAGUGGGGAAUAUUGCACAAUGGGCGCAAGCCGGAUGCAGCGACGCCGCGUGGGGGAUGACGGCCUUCGGGUUGUAAACUCCUUUCGCUAGGGACGAAGCUUUUUGUGACGGUACCUAGAUAAGAAGCACCGGCUAACUACGUG